rnacentral:rRNA from 1 species
UACGUAGGGUGCGAGCGUUGUCCGGAUUUAUUGGGCGUAAAGAGCUCGUAGGCGGCUGUUCAAGUCGAACGUGAAAACUCGGAGCUCAACUCCGAGCCUGCGUUCGAUACUGGACGGCUAGAGUCUGGUAGGGGGAUCUGGAAUUCCUGGUGUAGCGGUGGAAUGCGCAGAUAUCAGGAGGAACACCGAUGGCGAAGGCAGUUCUCUGGGCCGUAACUGACGCUGAGGAGCGAAAGCGUGGGGAGCGAACAGG